GGCACGUGGUCUAGGGGUAUGAUUUUCGCUUCGCAUUGGCUCUAGGAGCCUAGAAUGCCUGUGAAAGGUCGCGGGUUCAAUUCCCGUAGGUUGAAUCA